rnacentral:rRNA from 1 species
UACGUAGGGUGCAAGCGUUAAUCGGAAUUACUGGGCGUAAAGUGUGCGCAGGCGGCCGCGCAAGUCGAGUGUGAAAGCCCCGAGCUUAACUUGGGAAUUGCAUUCGAGACUGCAUAGCUAGGAUGCGGAAGAGGGAAGUGGAAUUUCCGGUGUAGCGGUGAAAUGCGUAGAUAUCGGAAGGAACAUCAGUGGCGAAAGCGACUUCCUGGUCCAGCAUCGACGUUCAGGCACGAAAGCGUGGGGAGCAAACAGG